ACGGCUCAGUAACACGUCGAUAAUCUAACCUAAGGUAAGGGAUAACUUCGGAAAUCUGAGGCUAACACCUUAUAUGAGAAUAAUCCUGGAAUGAUUAUUCUCUCAAAGGCAACGCCUUAGGAUGAGUCGGCGGCCGAUUAGGCAGUUGGUGAGGUAAAGGCUCACCAAACCAGUGAUCGGUAGGGGCCCUGAGAGGGGUAGCCCCGAGAAGGGUACUGAGAAACUGACCCUAGCCCUACGGGGUGCAGCAGGCGCGAAAACUUUACACUACACGAAAGUGUGAUAAGGGGAUCCUAAGUGCUUAUGUUUUGCAUAAGCUUUUGCCAAGAUUAAAAACCUUGGAGAAUAAGUGAUGGGUAAGACUGGUGCCAGCAGCCGCGGUAACACCAGCGUCACAAGUGGGGACCACAUUUAUUGGGCCUAAAGCGUCCGUAGCCGGCUUAGUAAAUCUUCUGUGAAAUCAUUAGGCUUAACUUAAUGACGUGCAGAGGACACUGCUAAACUAGGAACCGGGAGGAGUCAGAGGUAUUCUGGGGGGCGCGGUAAAAUGCGAUAAUCCUCAGAGGACCACCCGUGGCGGAGGCGUCUGACUAGAACGGGUUCGACGGUGAGGGACGAAAGCCAGGGGAGCAAACCGGAUUAGAUACCCGAGUAGUCCUGGCUGUAAACGUUGCGAGCUAGGUGUUGCAUAUUCUUCGAGAAUAUGUGGUGUCGAAGCGAAGGCAUUAAGCUCGCCGCCUGGGAAGUAUAGUCGCAAGACCGAAACUUAAAGGAAUUGGCGGGGGAGCAC
rnacentral:rRNA from 1 species